UACGUAGGGUGCGAGCGUUAAUCGGAAUUACUGGGCGUAAAGCGUGCGCAGGCGGUUCGUUGUGUCGGUGGUGAAAUCCCCGGGCUUAACCUGGGAAUGGCAUUUGGGACUGCAAGGCUUGAGUGCGGCAGAGGAGACUGGAAUUCCUGGUGUAGCAGUGAAAUGCGUAGAUAUCAGGAGGAACACCGAUGGCGAAGGCAGGUCUCUGGGCUGACACUGACGCUCAUGCACGAAAGCGUGGGGAGCAAACAGG
rnacentral:rRNA from 1 species